AUUGAACGCUGGCGGCAGGCCUAACACAUGCAAGUCGAGCGAGAGGCGGACGGGUGAGUAAUGUCGGGGGAACUGCCUGAUAGAGGGGGAUAACUACUGGAAACGGUGGCUAAUACCGCAUACUAUCAGAUGAACCCAUAUGGGAUUAGCUUGUAGGUGGGGUAAAGGCUCACCAAGGCGCCGAUCUCUAGCUGGUCUGAGAGGAUGAGCAGCCACACUGGGACUGAUACACGGCCCAGACUCCUACGGGAGGCAGCAGUGGGGAAGAUUGCACAAUGGGCGCAAGCCUGAUGCAGCCAUGCCGCGUGUAUGAAGAAGGCCUUCGGGUUGUAAAGUACUUUCAGCGGGGAGGCGUUACCCGCAGAAGAAGCACCGGCUAACUCCGUGCCAGCCGCCGCGGUAAUAC
rnacentral:rRNA from 1 species